UGGGGAAUAUUGGACAAUGGGGGCAACCCUGAUCCAGCCAUGCCGCGUGUGUGAAGAAGGCCUUUUGGUUGUAAAGCACUUUAAGCAGUGAAGAAGACUCUAUGGUUAAUACCCAUAGACGAUGACAUUAGCUGCAGAAUAAGCACCGGCUAACUCUGUGCCAGCAGCCGCGGUAAUACAGAGGGUGCAAGCGUUAAUCGGAAUUACUGGGCGUAAAGCGAGCGUAGGUGGCUUGAUAAGUCAGAUGUGAAAGCCCCGGGCUUAACCUGGGAACGGCAUCUGAUACUGUUAGGCUAGAGUAGGUGAGAGGAAGGUAGAAUUCCAGGUGUAGCGGUGAAAUGCGUAGAGAUCUGGAGGAAUACCGAUGGCGAAGGCAGCCUUCUGGCAUCAUACUGACACUGAGGUUCGAAAGCGUGGGUAGCAAACAGG
rnacentral:rRNA from 1 species